rnacentral:rRNA from 1 species
UGGCGACCGGCGCACGGGUGAGUAACACGUAUCCAACCUGCCGAUGACUCGGGGAUAGCCUUUCGAAAGAAAGAUUAAUACCCGAUGGCAUAGUUCUUCCGCAUGGUGGAACUAUUAAAGAAUUUCGGUCAUCGAUGGGGAUGCGUUCCAUUAGGUUGUUGGCGGGGUAACGGCCCACCAAGCCUUCGAUGGAUAGGGGUUCUGAGAGGAAGGUCCCCCACCAUUGGAACUGAGACACGGUCCAAACUCCUACGGGAGGCAGCAUG